GUGGGAUUUGAAGCAUGAAACGGAAAGAGGUCACCAAGAAAGUGAAUGUAUAUAAAGCAAACAAUGUGUCCAAGGGCUGAGUUCUGAGAUACUUCAAUAGCAGAAGAUGAUGUUGACAAGCAGAAGCCAGCUAAAGGAAGUGAGAAAGUGCUGGUAGUGAAGCACCAGGAAAACCAAGAGAUCAUGCUCAGUGCUAGCGGAUUCACAAGCAACCUAUACUCCUCAAAGAAACACGAUGAUAAGAUGAAGGCGAUCUCUCGAACUAGCGACUGGGGCUCUUCCUUCAGUGAAAAAAGUGGGUGUAUGCAGACUCCUGAAUCUAGAUUGCAGGGAUGUGACCUAUGUAAUGAACUUGCUGUUUAUGGCUCAUCAUCUUCUUCAAUGACGCGAAAAAUAGUAACAACUAAUACGUCUCGGGGAAAGUAAAUACUUUAAUGGACUUGUUACAGCAACCUGAUUUUUAAAAAACAAAAAAGGAACUUCCUUGAACUAAAGUGGUUAAGACCUCGACAUUUGCUCACAGAAAGAGUCGUUGAGUCAUUUCUAGUUGCUGAUGGGCAAAAGAUACAGUUGUCCCUUAUGGAAAAUUCCAAGAACUUGUACAUAAUUUGAGUCAUGCAAACCUGAGUUCUGCAUGACUGAGCUCUGUCACUCAGUGGUUGGGAAAUUUAUGACCAUCUCUAUGCCUUGGUUUCUGCAUCUGUAAAGUGGAAAUGAUAAUGUCUACAUUGUGUGAUUCCCGGAAGAAUGAAAUACAUUACAUUCAAAA